UAUUUAAACUCAAACCGUUAAGGUGUCUGAACUAGUAACAAGGUUCCUCACAAGAGAUUUGCACUGUCACAGCAGUUCUGAGGCAACAGUAUGGGCUUCAGGUAACAUAUUUGGAGACAUCAUGAAAAUGGACACCAUCGAUAAAUCAGAAAUUACAGCACUGAAGGACAACCGUAAAGGGUGUUGAAGCCUCCAAAAAACUGGCUGAGCACGAUCUGGCCCAGAUAAAGAAAUACAAGGGUAUGAUCACCAAAGUUGGCAAAGCAAAGAAGAUGGACCCAGCCGUGAUUGCUGCCAUCAUAUCCAGAGAGUCGAGAGCUGGAGCCGAGCCAUACUUAAAGAUAGGUGGGGUGAUCAUGGCAAUGGCUUCGGCCUUAUGAAGGUUGGUAAGAGGAACAGGUCUGUUCUUUUUGAAAAUCAGGACAUGCACUUAGGCUUGCACAUAAG